rnacentral:snRNA from 1 species
AUCACAAAAAGCCUGCUAAA